rnacentral:rRNA from 1 species
AUUGAACGCUGGCGGCAUGCCUUACACAUGCAAGUCGAACGGCAGCACGGGUGCUUGCCCCUGGUGGCGAGUGGCGAACGGGUGAGUAAUACAUCGGAACAUGUCCUGUAGAGGGGGAUAGCCCGGCGAAAGCCGGAUUAAUACCGCAUACGAUCCACGGAUGAAAGCGGGGGACCUUCGGGCCUCGCGCUAUAGGGUUGGCCGAUGGCUGAUUAGCUAGUUGGUGGGGUAAAGGCCUACCAAGGCGACGAUCAGUAGCUGGUCUGAGAGGACGACCAGCCACACUGGGACUGAGACACGGCCCAGACUCCUACGGGAGGCAGCAGUGGGGAAUUUUGGACAAUGGGCGAAAGCCUGAUCCAGCAAUGCCGCGUGCGUGAAGAAGGACUUCGGGUUGUAAAGCACUUUUGUCCGGAAAGAAAUCCUUGACUCUAAUACAGUCGGGGGAUGACGGUACCGGAAGAAUAAGCACCGGCUAACUACGUG